CCUACGGGAGGCAGCAGUGGGGAAUAUUGCACAAUGGGGGAAACCCUGAUGCAGCGACGCCGCGUGAGUGAAGAAGCGUUUCGGCGCGUAAAGCCCUGUCAGCGGGGAAGAAACACGGUUCGCGAGAGCCGCGGACGGUACCCGACCAAGAAGCCCCGGCUAACUACGUGCCAGCAGCCGCGGUAAUACGUAGGGGGCAAGCGUUAUCCGGAUUCACUGGGUGUAAAGGGAGCGUAGGCGGUCCGUUAAGUCAGCGGUAAAAUUGCGGGGCUCAACCCCGUCGAGCCGUUGAAACUGGCAGAGUGGAGUUGGCGAGAAGUACGCGGAAUGCGCGGUGUAGCGGUGAAAUGCAUAGAUAUCGCGCAGAACUCCGAUUGCGAAGGCAGCGUACCGGCGCCAGACUGACGCUGAGGCACGAAAGCGUGGGGAUCGAACAGGAUUAGAUACCCGAGUAGUC
rnacentral:rRNA from 1 species